rnacentral:lncRNA from 1 species
GAAUACGUGGAGUAGCUAUCGGUUGGCCAUGUGGAGGGUCCAAUUUGCGAGGUCAACAGAUUGGCGCCGUCUGUGGGAAACUUCCCGUCCAAAGUUCUGCAUUCUCCACCAGAGAAACCACCGAAAAACUAGUGGCUUACCCUGAAAAGGGCACGUUCUUGAAAAAGAGCAAAGUCGAGUAAUAAUUCAAGUUCUUAUCACCCUUGAAAAAGAAGAUAAGAUGAGUUACAACCAUGAAGACGAGAACCCUAUGAGAGAGGCCUCUGAAGAAGAGGUGCUCCGUAACAAUGUCACUCACCAGAGACCCCAUCACCGACGUCGUCGAGAUGAAAGAACAGUCAUACUCACUAAAGGAAUGACUCAAAUAGCUGCGGGCAUGAAAGACAUCGCAGCCCAGAAUAUGGCGAUGCAUGAACUUCUCAUGCAAGCCCGAGGUCACCAGGGCUCUCAAAUGCCCCAAGGAUCUUACCCAAUUCAGGAAGCCCCUGCAUCUCGUUCCCGAGACCGCGUGAGCCAGCACAGAAAACACCCCCUUGAAAGAGAAGUGGGUGCGGAAGCCACAUCCAAUGUGUAAGGGAGCUAGCCAGCAGAACCACAAUUGGGGGACAAUUUCCCUCAAUAAUAUAAAGCACAAAGGUUAGUCAGCGUCUUCGAUCGAAUAGGGCAGGACCCUAGUAAUAGGGUCCGCUCAGUGCGAAGAUCAGUUCGACAAGAACAGCAAGAACAAGCACCUCCUCCUCCUAGAAAUAGGAAGAAGAGAAGGGACUUAGUUGAUUGGGCCAGUCGAGGAGAAGCACCUCCACCUCCCCAGAACACUCAAGAUGAUGAAGAGUCAGAUGGGCCUUCUCGAUCCUAUGAAAUUGACGACGACGAUGAUAACCUCCCUUUCUCAAAGGAAAUUCGAUGUUUUCCAAUGCCUGCAAAUUUCAUGCCCCUCAAGAUCCCCAAGUAUGAAGAAAAGGGGGACCCGAAGAAGCACCUCACCAACUACAUGACAUAGAUUAGUCUCAGGGGAGCCUCGCCUACUUUGAAGUGCAGAGCCUUCCACUUAACCCUAGGCGGAGCUGCUGAAGUGUGGUACAGCAGACUUCCUCCCCUGAGCAUUAGGAGCAGGCCGAAUUUGAAGAAGGCAUUCUUGAACCAGUACCUCUCACGCAGAGGAGAGACCCCGGUGCAACCCCUGUAAGAUAUGAGGCAAGCCCCUGGAGAGACGCUGAAAAACUAUCUCGCCAGGUUUACAGACGAAAUCACGUAUUGCAAGCACGUCACUGACAGAGAAGCCCUUUCGGCCUUGAAAGACGGCCUCAACAUGAACACUUUAUUCUGGAGGGAUGUGCGCAGCAAAAAUCCCACCACUUAUGACGAACUGGUAGAAAUGAUGAGAGUUGAGAUCGUCAGUGAAUAGAUGAUUGAUCACUGAAAUCGUGCCGUGCAAGGACUCCCUCCGCCUCAAAGGCAGGUAGGUCGAGGACCCGCAGCACACCUUGUCACUCAACAAUGGACUCAAGCAGGUCAUACAAUAGCUCCCACCUCCGGACAGGCACUGGCUUCCGCCACUCUAAAUACAGUGCCGGUGUUGGCAUACGAGAAUUUCCUUAGCGUAACAGGGCCAUAUGGAAGAACUGAUAGUAAUAAAAAGAAGAAGAAGAAGUGGUCAAACAGGCCCUUGGAAAGGGCAAGGUUUUGCACUUUCUACCAACUCCAUGGGCAUGACACCAACGAGUGCAGAGACGCUCCUCGACGCCCGAAUCGGAGCAACCCACAUCCCUCCAGGAGGAACGAAUAUCCUCAUAGAUCCGCCUCCUCGAAUAGGGGAAAGAGAAGGCAUAGAGAGCAGUGGCAUAGAGAGCAAUCACCUCAGAGAAGAGAAUCAAGGGACCGAGAAGAGUCCAAACAGAGAGAUCAGGCCCCAUUUUCUGGAGGCCAAAUCAUCGGGGAGAUCGACAUGAUCAUUGGGGGACCUCAUAUCGGUGGCAACACCAGGAACACCCAAAGGAAUUACACAAGGGAAGCAAAGGACCCACCAAUGCUCACCUACAUUGUCAACGAGUCCCAAGAGGCCAAUAGGAUGGCCCCAAUCACCUUCUCCCAGAAAGAUACGCAAGGAGUUCACCACUCCCAUUGUGACGCAUUGGUUGUAAGAGCCGUAGUGGCAAGAAACGGGCUCAAACGCAUGCUCGUCGACAAUGGCAGUUCGGUGAAUAUACUGUUCGGCUCCACCUUCGACAAGAUGCAAAUUGAACAUGGGUUGAUCCCCAUGACCGAUCCACUGUUCGGAUUUACUGGAGACAGCAUCAUCCCACGAGGGCGGAUUACUCUGCCUAUCGAGAUGGGUUCAGCUCCUCUAGUGGCCCAACACUUCAUGGAAUUCUUAGUGGUAGACCACAAAUUAGCCUACCAUGGAGUAUUGGGCAGACCCGCCUUAAAAGAUCUUUGGGCUAUCACCUCCAUCCACUACUUGUGCAUGAAAUUCCAAACUGAACAUGGGAUUGCCACGGUACGGUGCGAUCAGAUGGGCUCCAGGACAUAUUACUUAAACUCUCUGCGAAAAUUGGAGCCCGAACUGUUAACGUGAUCAUAACUGAAGUUGUCAGUGAACUCAAUUUGGACGUGAAAAUGCUCGACGCCCCUGAACAAUAGCAUACCUUCGAAAAGGAGGAAGACGUCGACAUGGAAGAGGCCUCUGAAGAAGGGCACCCUCUUGAUGAAUUAGAUCCCCGGAUCAUUGACUCCGAGCUAAAUGCAACUCCAAUGCAAGAACUUGAAACCUUUUUCGCCAACUCAGAGGACCCCAAUCAGGUCCUACGAAUAGGAAAGGCACUGUCCCCCGAAGCAAAAAAAGAAAUGGUGAGCUUCCUGAAAAGGAACUUGGAUGUCUUCGCUUGGAAGCUUGAAGACAUGGUGGGAAUAGAUCCAAGAAUCAGUUGCCAUCAUCUUAACAUCAACUCUUUCGGUGCCCCACAUAGGCAGAAAAGACGUGCUCUCAACCCAAAACGAUAUGAGGCGCUGAAAGACGAAGUACACCAACUUAGCCGCAACAGCUACAUCAGAAAAGCCAUCUAUCCGAAGUGGAUAUCCAACCCGGUCCUUGUGAAGAAGCCCAGCGGAAAGUAGAGGGUGUGCGUAGACUUCACAAAUUUAAAUAAGUCAUGCCCUAAAGACAGUUUCCCACUUCCAAGGAUAGACCAACUUGUGGAUUCCACCGUCGGACAUGAACUCUUGAACUUCGUGGAUGCAUACUCAAGGUAUAACCAGAUACCCAUGUUCCGACCUGAUGAGGAGGCUACAUCAUUCAUCACAGACAGAGGACUGUACUGCUACAAAGUCAUGCCCUUCGGAUUGAAAAAUACUGGAGCUACAUAUCAGCGGUUAGUCAACAUGAUAUUUGCCGAACUCAUUGGCAAAACCAUGAAGGUCUACGUCGACAACAUGCUAGUCAAAAGCCUUCGGGCCAUCGAGCACGUAAGUCAUCUCGACCAAACCUUUCAGAUACUUAGAAAAUAUAAAAUGAAGUUAAAUCCCCUCAAGUGCACCUUUGGAGUAGCUUCGGGUCAAUUUUUGGGAUAUAUUGUAAACCAAAGAGGAAUCGAAGCGAACCCAAUGAAGAUAAUGACCUUGCUUGAAAUAAGAUCACCUCAAAAACCAAAGGAGGUCCAAAACCUCAAUGGUCGGAUAGCCGCAUUCAAUCGCUUCAUCUCCAGAGCUACAGAUAAGAGCUUGCCCUUCUUCAAUGUGCUGAAGCAAGAAAAGAAGUUCCAAUGGACUUUUGAGUGCGAAAAAGCCUUCCAAGCGCAGAGAAGCACUUAGGAGAGGUGCCCCUGCUGUCCAAACCUCAACCAGAAGAAUCACUACUCCUGUACUUGGCGGUCUCAAACGAGGCGGUCAGUGCAGUCCUAGUCAGAGAAGAAAAUGGGCACCAGUUGCCGGUAUACUAUGUCAUUAAAGCACUCCUCCCAGUUGAAACACGCUACCCAAAUAUGGAGAAACUGGCACUUGCCCUCAUCACAACCUCAAGAAAACUGAGGUCAUACUUCCAAGUCCACUCAAUUGAAGUUCUCACCAACUUUCCAUUGAAGCAAGUGCUGCAGAGAACAGACGCAUCAGGACGCCUGCUAAAAUGGACGAUCAAGCUCAGUGAGUUCGACCUCCUAUUCCGACCUCGACAUGCCAUCAAGGAUCAGGCCUUUGUAGAUUUUGUGGCUGAAUUUGCCAAAACCCCAGAAAUGGAGGUAACAAUGGAACCAGCUGAACCCCCAACGUGAAAACUGUUCGUAGAUGGAUCCUCAGGAGAGGCUGGCUCCGGGGCAGGGAUCGUCUUGGAAAGCCCGAAGGCCACAAACUAAAUUGCGCAGUAAGGUUUGACUUCAAAGUCUCGAACAACGCUGCUGAAUAUGAGACCCUUCUAGCAGGCCUUAGACUGGUGAAGGAAAUGCAAGUUAGAAGGCUUCUAACAAGCAGCGAUUCUCAACUUGUAGUGAGUCAGGUCAAUGAAAACUUCGCAGCCAAAGACAGUAGCAUGGUUGCAUACUUGAAAUUGGUUCUGGACCUAGUUCCUCAUUUUGAAAGGUUCGAGCUGAUUCAAGUCCCACGCCUAGAGAAUACUCAUGCAGACGCCCGUCAAAAUUGGCCAGCAGCAAGAAUUCAGAGCUACUAAAGGUUGUCCCCAUUGAACACUUAUUGAAGCCCUCCAUUUCCGGAGGUGAAAAGAUGCUAUGGAUAGAAGGCACCCCGUUAUGGAUGCAACCCAUCAUCGCCUAUCUUAAGAACCAAUCACUACCAGCUUCUAGAAGCGAGGCAAGGAAGUUAAAAAGAAGGACUGCACACUUCGUCCUACAAGAAAAUGUCCUCUACAAAAGAGGCUUCGCCUCGCCACUUCUCCAAUGUGUAGGAGGCGAAGAGGAAUGUAUAUACUCAGGGAAAUCCAUGAGGGAAUCUGUGGGAAUCACUCCGGAGGAACGGCUCUGGCACACAAAAUACUCCGGUAAGGCUACUUUUGGGUGACCCUGAAAAGGGAUGCUUGCCAGUUUGUCCAGAAAUGUGACAAGUGCCAGUUCUUCUCAAAUAUUCAAAGCCAACAUUCUCAGAGCCUCUCCGUAGUGACCAGCCCUUGGCCGUUUGCCAAAUGGGGCAUCGACUUCAUUGGUCCACUCCCAAAAGGAAGAGGAAGCACGACUGUUGCCAUUGUCGCCAUCGACUAUUUUACCAAGUGGAUCAAAGCUGAACCUCUUGCCGAGAUCACUGAGGCAAAUAUUACAAAAUUCGUCUGGAAGAACAUCAUUUACAGGUUCAGCAUUCCCCACUCCUUAGUAUCCGACAGCAGGAACAGUUCGACAACAAAAAAAUGCGAGACUUAUGCGACGAACUGGACAUAAAGAAGGAUUUCUCAACGCCUCAUCACCCACAAGCAAAUGGGCAAGUUGAAGCAAUAAACAAAACAAUCAAGCAUACCCUAAAAAGGAAGCUUGACAUCUCGAAGGGGGCUUGGGUCAAUGAGCUUCCCCACGCCCUCUGGGCCAUUAGAACAACGAGCCGAACUGCAACAGGGGAGACACUAUUCUCAAUGACCUACGGAGCCGAGGCCAUGAGCCGGGUUGAGGUAGGAGUCCUAUUGCACCGUCAAAUACACUUCAAUGAGAUCAAUAACGACGAGACUCGAAUGAACGAAGUUCACCUCCUUGAAAAAAGGAGGGAUGCCUCCCAGGUGAACUUGACAAAGUAUCAUAGAAAGAUGACCCGCUAUUAUAACUUCAAGGUCAGAAAUCGGACUCUUCAUCUGGGGGACCUCGUCCUUAAAAGGGUCUUCCAAUCAUCAAAGCCAACCGGGUCCGGAAUGUUGGGAUCGAACUGGGAGGGUCCUUGCUGCAUCCUUAGGGAAUCCCGACCUAGCACUUUUGAAAUUGAAGACAUGGCAGGGAAAUCACUCCCUCAUCAAUGGAACAUCGAACACUUAAAGAAGUACUAUCAGUGAUGAACUUGUGUUCCGAUCCAAUCUCAAUGUCUAAUGAAUGUGUCAUGAUCCGAUCUCAUUUGUAACUUCCGUAUCUUACUAAGUGCUGAAAAUCCCUUAGUGAAGGGUGAUGUAACUUCUCUAAGUAAUGAUACUUUAGUUCUUUGUCACAUCGGUUAGUAAAUUGUUACCUCAACUCUUCAAUAUGUUAAUUAGUCCGAUCUUUUGUUAUUAACCGAUUAUUGGUAAAUGGCGCAUCAUGUUUACUUAAGUGAUUGUCAUUCAUAUACUCAAAUGUAAACGGUUCAACACAAUAGAAAAGUAGAAACAACAAUACUUAACAAAAAAAAUUCCUUUCAUUCAUUUGGAAUUGGAUUACAAAAGAGGUCGAAGCCAUUACAAAAAUUAAUUUAACUCUAUUCUACUGGGGUCUGAUCUCUCUGUCCGAUUUCUGACCUUGGAGUUAUAAUACGAGGUGUCCGAAGUGGUUCCGAAGUAACGCGACCACCAAUGUUGUCGAUCUGCUAAUGCACUACGAGGUACAGACAAUCUACUGAAUCGAUCGAAGCGUCCUAGCCCCUAAAGUUGAGGCGCACUACAUUUCGAGGCUCUCUGUCAGAGGAUCUGCCGUCAAUUUCAGAAAAAGAUCUAUGUCAAGAUCCUUUCUGCCCCCAAGGUUUAAUUGAUUUGACAUCUCCAUGAGCCUAGUUGAUGUGAUGUAUCAACUUUAUGUCAACUCAACUCAGGAGAAGUAAUUACCCGCCCACUCUAUAGACGCGACUGAUUGACGCCUAUGAGCAAACGCCUCACACCGUCAGAUGCAUACACGUGUCCCACAUCCAACGGUUCUCCUCACCUAUAAAUACCCAAGGUUUGACAAGAGGCAAAGGUAAUGAAACUCUUACAACAUAUCUUUCCAUAACAAGCAAAUAUAUAUUCUCAUCCCCACUAUUUUGCACAAUUUAGGUAUUGUUCCGAUCACCUGAGACUAACUUGACCGUCGGAAUGUAUGUGGUCGCCACCACCCUCGCUGGUUCCGGUCGUGUGCAUCUGACCGUGCGUUGACUGAGCGCAGAGAGAAAUACGUGGAGUAGCUAUCGGUUGACCACAUGGAGGAUCCAAUUUGCGAGAUCAACAAAUACUAUUCCCAAUAAAAACAUUAUCUUCUGUGUGAAAAGCCCCUGCUACAAUCUACUCCAAACUGAAACAACCUAAUCCAAAUGGAAUGGGGGCAAUCACAACAACUAGCAAUAGGAUCUUCAAGAUGAAGUACAGAAGCUCCCAACUGCAAGAGCUCAUAUGAAGCCCCGUAAGACAGUCGAUGUGAGUUAUAAAAUGCAGUAGAAACAUGUGUCGUAUUAUUAGUAGAGAACUACACAAAAGAUGCCAAAGUAUUUAGACAAUAACAGGUGGAUUGGCCAAAUUACAAACCAUGUGCCCAAAUGCAGAAACUGUGAAGCAGCUUUAGGAAGGAGCAAACCUUGGAAACAAGACAUGCUUGCAUAAAAUAUAACAUCCCAAAGAAAAAUCUUAUGAUAAUCCAGCUGAAAAAAACUCAUCGCUCAUAAAUUUAAAGCUAAAUAUUAAAAAGCAUGAGUAAAGAUAUAUCCAAAUUAACCACAAGUACUAUCAUAGCAAACCUAUCACUUACGAUUUACAGCUAAAUCUUAAAAAGUGAUCAACAAAAUGGG